rnacentral:lncRNA from 1 species
UUCUUCAUUUCCAGGGUGCAGAGAAGAACUUGAAAAAUCUCAAUGAUCUUUGGUACUACUUGGUCUUUAUCAGAAGUUAAAGAGGUUCUAAAGUUUGAAGCUGCAGAAUUAAGAGUCUGUCAAUGGAGCAAAAAACAGGCAAGAGGACAAGCCAACCUGAAAACUAUGAAGUCAGAAGUGACAGAGGUGAUGGAUUUUGAGAAGUUACAGCAUCUACCUCAAGAUCACAUGAGUAGGAAGGAAGCUUCCAGACAGCAGUAGAGUGCCAAACUGAAGAAAAGACUGAUUCAUGGCAAAAGGCGACUGAAAAUAUGAAAAGGAAUGCAGCGUCCACGUCUUCAAAUGUUCCCCAUUUAGUUAAUUUAUCAUUAGAAAAAAACACAAAUAAAACACAGCCAGCUUUGCCUAAUGGACAUCGUGAUAAUAAAUUAAUUCUUACUGAGUGUAUUUUAUUCUGUCAUUUUCAGAGGGAAAUGCACCAACCCAAGAUUCUUAAAUAACCAUAAUUAGAUUACUUUCUCCACCUUUCUAACAAGCCCUUUGAAACAGAGGCCUUCAGAAGUGAUGGGAAUGGGGCAGAGGCAUGGUCCCCAAAGAGAAGGCUCUCUCUAGGUGCCUUUUUACAAGAGUUCAGGGGAACUGGGUAAUUGGCACAAAGCCACAUGAUUCAGGAAGUUGCUGUGAUCACUCCUGGCUCCUCAAACAAACACUUUUCUUUCUCCUCAUUGGGACAAACUGAAAUUUCCAACAGUGGUGAACAAGACCUCUUUCAUCCCUGAGGCUUUGCCUAGGCAAAGAGCCAGUACUCCUGACAUGACUGAGGCCUCUUGUCUGAUGUCCCCCAGUUGCUGGAUGAAACUCUGCUUUGAAAUAACUGCAAGAAGCAGGAUAAGAAGUGCCAGUGCUGGGCCUGUCAGAGGGAGAGUUGUUUUUUUCUUUUUUUCCACCUCUCUGUGCUG